rnacentral:rRNA from 1 species
CCUACGGGUGGCUGCAGUGAGGAAUAUUGGUCAAUGGGCGCGAGCCUGAACCAGCCAAGUAGCGUGAAGGAUGACUGCCCUACGGGUUGUAAACUUCUUUUAUAUAGGAAUAAAGUGUGGCACGUGUGCGUUUUUGUAUGUACUUUAUGAAUAAGGAUCGGCUAACUCCGUGCCAGCAGCCGCGGUAAUACGGAGGAUCCGAGCGUUAUCCGGAUUUAUUGGGUUUAAAGGGAGCGGAGACGGGGUUUUAAGCCAGUUGUGAAAGGUUGGGGCUCAACCGUAACGGUGCAGUUGUUACUGGGGGCCUUGAGUGCAGUUGAGGCAGGCGGAAUGCGUGGUGUAGCGGUGAAAUGCAUAGAUAUCACGAAGAACCCCGAUUGCGAAGGCAGCCUACUAAGCUGCAACUGACAUUGAUGCUCGAAAGUGUGGGGAUCGAACAGGAUUAGAUACCCUGGUAGUC